GUGAAGAGACAUGAGAGGUGUAGAAUAAGUGGGAGGCCCCUGGUGCCCCCUUGUCCCUGCGAGGGGGCGGGGCAGGGUCCGCUGGCCUUGCAGGCCGCUGGUGAAAUACCACUACUCUGAUUGUUUAUUCAC
rnacentral:ncRNA from 1 species